UAUUUUGGCAAUAUAACUUGGGCUUUGAAAGGGUUUCCACGUCAGUGCCAUAAAAGCAGGCAGCAGCAGCAGCAGCAGCAGCAUGACCCAAUCCCCCACCUUUUCUUCUUCCUUCCUUCAAAGGAAAUGGCGUUGUCUGUAUCUCCAUUCAUGUUUAUUUAUUUGUUUUCCUCGAUGCCUUUAAAGGAGUGGAAACUUGUGCCACUCCCAGCAUGCAAAAUAGUACAAUUUAUGUGGGGUUUAUAUUAUAUGUAUAUAUAUGUUUUUUAACAUUUUU
rnacentral:lncRNA from 1 species